AUUUGCGGUAUCAGCAGUCUUUCGGGGCUGUGCACUUGCUGCUUAUUGGGCCAGCAUCGGUUUUGACCGGGUGAUAAAGACUCUGGGAAUGUGGCUCUCUUCGGGGAGUGUUAUAGCCCAGUGUGCAAUGACCCGUGUUGGGACCGAGGACCGCGCUUCGGCUAGGAUGCUGGCAUAAUGGUCUUCAGCGACCCGUCUUGAAACACGGACCAAGGAGUCA
rnacentral:rRNA from 1 species